rnacentral:lncRNA from 1 species
UUCUUUGGCCUCUGGAGUUGAUUUGACUAUGCUUCCAGCACUGGUUGAUGCUUCUUUAUAGCCACAGACUUCUCUUGAGGUCCAUAUUCUUCUUGCUUGAUCUCAUGACUGUCAUAUUCUAUUUUUACCCCUAAGAUUCCACAUAUCAUAUCAUUUACAUUUUCAAUCAAGAUCACAAUCAUGGUAUCCUCAUAACCUUCACCUCUUUGGGUUUGCCUUUGUGGGAGAUCAUCAAGCACCCUUUGUGUUUUAUUUUUACCUUUUUU